rfam:Oryza sativa Japonica Group DNA, chromosome 4, cultivar: Nipponbare, complete sequence.
AAAAAAACAAACCCUGAUUUCCGUGUCUAACAUUUAACCGUCCGUCUUAUUUAAAAAAAUUAAAAAGAUAAGUCACGCAUAAAAUAUUAAUCAUGUUUUAUCAUCUAACAACAAUGAAAAUACGAAUUAUAAAAAAAAUUAUAUAAGACGGACAGUCAAAGUUGGACACGAAAACUCAAUAUUUGUCUUUUU